GGAAGUUGGAGAAAUUCGGCGUCCGAUCACAGACAGUGACUCUCCGUUUGACGAAACCUGGAAAGAAGGUCGAAGGAUAGCUCUAGUUGAUCACCUAGUGCAGAAUAAGUUCGUUAAGAUAUAAAACUGUCCCCUGCGGAUACUGUCUGUGAACGGAAAUACGACCGCCAAGGCUUGGACCAGGAGCCGAGGCGGAGGCCGUGGAUCAUUUUGUCCAUACCAUAUCGUUGUAGCUGCAGUGAAUGUAACCUGCUUAUCAUACAUGUGUAACAGUGUUGAAACGAGGAAAGAAAUGGAACUGGUGAAUUGUUAUCAAUUCAAAAGCUGUACAUGGAAUGAUACAUGCAGGAAUUUGUGCCACACAUUUCAACAAUUUCCUUAAUGGAUUGAAUGUACUUUAUGUGAAUUCAUCAGCCAUACUUAAAAAGAAAAAGGAGAAUGAAACUGGAAAGAAAAUAUUUGCAGUUGCAAAAGAAUGCUGUAAAUAAAUUCAAAAGAAGAAACAGUUUUAAACAUGGUUAAUUUAAUGAAUAAUUGGAAGGUUGAAGCUAGUUUUGUUGCAGAAUGGCAAAUGUUUGGUACUGGUUGAAACUAUGAAAGUGAUACAGGUCCCAUGGUAAUCAUUUAACAGCAGGUUUUUAACAGCAGUUAUGCAGAAAAAUGAAGGAUGGCUGUCAAUGGUAAAUGCAGCAUCAGAAUAUUCCCCAGGAAAGUUUACCCAGAGAGUUUGGGAAAGUAUGAAUAAGAAAUUAGAGAGGAAAACACUUACAGAUAACCAGAAAACAAAGAUUUUAAAAAAAAAAGAAUUGCAACUAAUAGUAAUGUGAUAUAUCUGACUGGGAGCAACAUGUACUAUUCAAUAUAGAAGGAUUGACAAUUUUGACUGAGAACAAAGUGAACUUUAAUAAUGCUAUGACUAUCAAUCAAUACUUGACUGAAUCAGAGGAGUAAACUAUUUACAUAUUUGUAAAUAUAACAAUUAUAUGUUUGCUUGAUUAUUGAGGCAUUCAAAAUAAAGAAAGUUGAAAAACCUUUGAAAAAGUUAUAAUUUCAUAAUUUUUUGGUUAUGUUACUAUGACAACUGAAAUAUAUAAUGUAUUAUCAUUAUGCUUCAUCAACUUAAAUCAUUUAUUGUGGAAAAGGUGACAAAGUCUUUUUAUCCAUUUACUUGCAUGACUGUUAUCUCAAUAAAUUAAAAAAAAUAAUAUUUGGUGAUUUUUGCUAACUUCUGACUAAUUUAUUUUGCUCAUUUAAUACCACAGUAAUGCUAAUGUAAGCUGCAUUAUAAUGUAUCAUAGUAUUUGUUCACAUUUUCAUAGAAGCCAUGUGUUGUUGCUCUAAAAUCAUGGGAUUUGAUCUUCUAUUGUCUGUUUGGUUGUAACUCUUGCACAUCAGAACAAUGCACAAACUUGAAUUUUCCAACUUCGUGUCCUGUUGCCAUGGUAACCGUUGUUCAUAGAAACAAAAUAAAUGUUCUCAUUUCAUUGCCUUGUGAAACUAUUAUUCUGUGAAAGUUUAACAAAGGAUAUGACAACAUAUGUCACACUUUGGUGAAGUUUGGUCACCGAUGAUGAAUGAUAUACAAAAAACUGCUGUUGAUCACUGUUUCGUUAGGGGUCACAAAAACGUUUUUGGGGCAAAAAAUAGUCUGGUGACCCAUAUUUUUUUUGAUUUUUUUUCAAAGCUCAUUGU